rnacentral:lncRNA from 1 species
CCCAAUCAGAUUAAUACAUCUCUCUCCUUUCUUCUCUUUUCCUCACGCAGACCCGCUCAAACCCUCUCUUUACCUUCACUCCCACUCUCAGCCGUCUCUCUCCCUCUCUACCUCUCCGGCGAAUAUCGCCGGCUUUCGCCGCUUCCGGCGCGGCGAGGCUGACGCAGCUUCUCCCCUUCCUCUUUCUUCCCUCUCCUUUCUACAUUUAAUUCCCCAAAUUCUAAAAUCAAUUCAACCUAGGGUUUUCAAUCUCCCCCAUCAAUUGUACUCCUCUGGCGAAUCCCGGCGAAUAACGUCGCCGCCGCCCCAGCUCGUCGGAUUUCCGCUCCUCCGCCGUUCUUCCUGUCU